CGAACGAGACCUUCGGGUCUAGUGGCGCACGGGUGCGUAACGCGUGGGAAUCUGCCCUUGGGUGCGGAAUAACUUUCCGAAAGGAAUGCUAAUACCGCAUAAUGUCGUAAGACCAAAGAUUUAUCGCCCAAGGAUGAGCCCGCGUAAGAUUAGCUAGUUGGUGGGGUAAAAGCCUACCAAGGCGACGAUCUUUAGCUGGUCUGAGAGGAUGAUCAGCCACACUGGGACUGAGACACGGCCCAGACUCCUACGGGAGGCAGCAGUGGGGAAUAUUGGACAAUGGGCGAAAGCCUGAUCCAGCAAUGCCGCGUGAGUGAUGAAGGCCCUAGGGUUGUAAAGCUCUUUUACCCGGGAUGAUAAUGACAGUACCGGGAGAAUAAGCUCCGGCUAACUUCGUGCCAGCAGCCGCGGUAAUACGAGGGGAGCUAGCGUUGUUCGGAAUUACUGGGCGUAAAGCGCGCGUAGGCGGCUUUUUAAGUCAGAGGUGAAAGCCCGGGGCUCAACCCCGGAAUAGCCUUUGAAACUGGAAAGCUAGAAUCUUGGAGAGGUCAGUGGAAUUCCGAGUGUAGAGGUGAAAUUCGUAGAUAUUCGGAAGAAC
rnacentral:rRNA from 1 species